rnacentral:rRNA from 1 species
UACGGAGGGUGCAAGCGUUAUCCGGAAUCACUGGGUUUAAAGGGUGCGUAGGUGGGUUUGUAAGUCAGUGGUGAAAUCUCCGAGCUUAACUCGGAAACUGCCAUUGAUACUAUAGAUCUUGAAUUAUCUGGAGGUAAGCGGAAUAUGUCAUGUAGCGGUGAAAUGCUUAGAUAUGACAUAGAACACCAAUUGCGAAGGCAGCUUACUACGGAUAUAUUGACACUGAGGCACGAAAGCGUGGGGAUCAAACAGG